AAUAAGGGAUGUUUGGACAGUUACACUCAACCAACAGAAGCAUGUGGACAGACAUUGACUGUAAUGAUGGACAUCUGUUCAUGCACAGGUAAUGUUUAUAAUGUGUCAGUUUGUGCUGUUUUGCUUGUUCUGUAAAUGUGUAGGUUACUAUCAUUUUCUUUCGCUUUCAAAUUCUGAUUCAUUGGCCACUGUAAAUAAUAAGUGCAGUAAAUGAUAAAACUAUUUGUACUACAAACCAAUCUGUUUAAAAUAACGCUCCUUUACAUUUCACCAGAACUCAUUUUGCAAUACGGCGGUAAGCUAUUGUCUGUGAAUGUGUAGUACAUUAGCCGCUAUAGGUAAAUAAAUAACUAUAGGAAUAAAUUGCAGUAAAUUGUAAAACUAUUUGCACUACAAACCAUUUCCCCUAAUCUUUUUUUAAUGCAUGCGUCAUCUUACAUGGCAAUGUUUUUAGGAAUUCAGUUUUUGUACUUAAUUUAUAUUUAUUAACUUUUAUUUAAUUUAAAAAAAUAAUAAUAAUUGAUUUUUAGAUAUUCCAUAUUGAACAGUAGUUUGAAUGAAACUGAUUGAUACAGCAUUACAGAACAGACUGCAGUGUUGUAUAAAUAUCCAACAUUAAUAUAUUUAUCUAUUUUUAUUACAUGUUUUUAGUCUUGAUAUGCAGUAUGUCUGAUAAUGGCUGUAUUUCUGUCUUGUCUCUCCAGAAUGAGUGGUAUCUUGGUUGUAAACUGGUCCGGCUGAAGCAGAGCUCUGGGACGUGUGGACAGACAUUGACUGUAUUGAUGGACAUCUGCUCAUGGACAGGCGGCACAAGCGGGUUUCAGCUUCAGUCUGACACCUCCGGCUGCUUGACAACAUGA
rnacentral:lncRNA from 1 species